UACGGAGGGAGCAAGCGUUGUUCGGAAUUACUGGGCGUAAAGGGCGCGUAGGCGGCCUGGUAAGUCGCGUGUGAAAGGCCGGGGCUCAACCCCGAGCACUGCACGCGAUACUGCCUGGCUAGAGAGAGGUAGGGGCGAGCGGAAUUCCCGGUGUAGCGGUGGAAUGCGUAGAUAUCGGGAAGAACACCUGUGGCGAAGGCGGCUCGCUGGACCUCUUCUGACGCUGAAGCGCGAAAGCGUGGGGAGCAAACAGG
rnacentral:rRNA from 1 species